ensembl:snRNA U6 U6 spliceosomal RNA
AUGCUCAUUCGGCAGGACAUACACUAAAAAUUGGAAUGAUGCAGAGAAAAUUAGCAUGGCCCCUGCAUAAGGAUAAAAUGCAAAGGACUUUUCAAAGUUAA